CCUACGGGUGGCAGCAGUGAGGAAUAUUGGUCAAUGGGCGCGAGCCUGAACCAGCCAAGUCGCGUGAGGGAAUACGGUCCUACGGAUUGUAAACCUCUUUUGGCGGGGAGCAAUGCCGGGCACGUGUGCCCGGAGGGAGAGUACCCGCAGAAUAAGCAUCGGCUAACUCCGUGCCAGCAGCCGCGGUAAUACGGAGGAUGCGAGCGUUAUCCGGAUUUAUUGGGUUUAAAGGGUGCGUAGGCGGAGUUUUAAGUCAGCGGUAAAAAGUCGGGGCUCAACCCGGGCCGGCCGUUGAAACUGGGGAUCUUGAGUGGGCGAGAAGUAGGCGGAAUGCGUGGUGUAGCGGUGAAAUGCAUAGAUAUCACGCAGAACUCCGAUUGCGAAGGCAGCUUACUAAACUGCCACUGACGUUGAGGCUCGAAAGUGUGGGGAUCGAACAGGAUUAGAUACCCCAGUAGUC
rnacentral:rRNA from 1 species